AUUGAACGCUGGCGGCAGGCCUAACACAUGCAAGUCGAACGAGUGGCGGACGGGUGAGUAAUGUCUGGGAAACUGCCUGAUGGAGGGGGAUAACUAAUGGAAACGGUAGCUAAUAACGCCUACCAUCAGAUGUGCCCAGGUGGGAUUAGCGUGUUGGGGGGGUAACGGCUCACCAAGGCGACGAUCCCUAGCUGGUCUGAGAGGAUGACCAGCCACACUGGAACUGAGACACGGUCCAGACUCCUACGGGAGGCAGCAGUGGGGAAUAUUGGACAAUGGGCGCAAGCCUGAUGCAGCCAUGCCGCGUGUAUGAAGAAGGUCUUCGGGUUGUAAAGCACUUUAAGCUGGGAGGCGUUACCAGCAGAAGAAGCACCGGCUAACUCCGUGCCAGCAGCCGCGGUAAUAC
rnacentral:rRNA from 1 species